rnacentral:misc_RNA from 1 species
AACGCACAUUGCGCCCCUUGGUAUUCCAUGGGGCAUGCCUGUUCGAGCGUCAUUUGUACCUUCAAGCUCUGCUUGGUGUUGGGUGUUUGUCGGGUCCUCUGCGAUCCGACUCGCCUUAAAUGUAUUGGCAGCCGGCGUAUUGGCUUAUGAGCGCAGCACAUUUUGCGAUUGUAGCCGCUAUUCCAGCGUCCAACAAGCCUACAAUAUCACUUUUGACCUCGGAUCAGGUAGGGAUACCCGCUGAACUUAA